rnacentral:rRNA from 1 species
UACGGAGGAUCCAAGCGUUAUCCGGAAUCAUUGGGUUUAAAGGGUCCGGUAGGCGGUUUUGUAAGUCAGUGGUGAAAGCCCAUCGCUCAACGGUGGAACGGCCAUUGAUACUGCAAGACUUGAAUUAUUAGGAAGUAACUAGAAUAUGUAGUGUAGCGGUGAAAUGCUUAGAGAUUACAUGGAAUACCAAUUGCGAAGGCAGGUUACUACUAAUAUAUUGACGCUGAUGGACGAAAAGCGUGGGGGAGCGAACAGG